rnacentral:rRNA from 1 species
UACGUAGGGGGCAAGCGUUGUCCGGAAUCAUUGGGCGUAAAGCGCGCGUAGGCGGCUCGAUCAGUCUGUCGUGAAAGUCAAAGGCUCAACCUUUGAAUGCCGAUGGAUACUGUCGAGCUAGAGUCCGGAAGAGGCGGGUGGAAUUCCUGGUGUAGCGGUGGAAUGCGCAGAUAUCAGGAGGAACACCAACGGCGAAGGCAGCCCGCUGGGACGGUACUGACGCUAAGGCGCGAAAGCGUGGGGAGCGAACAGG